UACGGGGGGUGAAGCGUUGUUCGGAAUUAUCUGGGCGUAAAGGGCUCGUAGGCGGCCAACUAAGUCGGACGUGGAAAAUCCCUCAGCUUAACUGGGAACUGCGUCGAUACUGGAUGCUUGGAUUUGGGAGAGGGAUGCGGAAUUCCAAGUUGUAGCGGUGAAAUACGUAGAUAUCUGGAGGAACACCGGUGGCGAAGGCGGCAUCUGGAC
rnacentral:rRNA from 1 species